rnacentral:lncRNA from 1 species
GGUAACAAUUGCAGUUUAGCUGCUCACUUGCCGGAGGACCUCAGGCUCCCUUCUCUGAGAUUCACUUAGGCCAUUUCUGGAAUCCCCAUUGUGCAGGACAGCUGGGUUGAUUGCAGUGAUGUUUACUCACCAAAUCCUGAGUGCUGGAGCAGACAGGGCCCCAUCUGUUACUCUCUUGGACUUCCAGCCUCCAGAACUGAGAGAGAGAAGAAAUCUCAGUCUCUGAAGCCCUCCGCUUUGUGGCCCGAGGUCACAGAGCCCCAGCAAACCAUCACAUUGGGUUAAGGGAAUGCAUCCCCAGAUCUCAUAGCUGCAGACUGGCCACUGCAGGACUAUCCAGUGGGACCCAGGGGUGCCUCUGCCCUAUUGGGGGACCCUCGGUGAGCCAGUGAAUUCAGAGCAUUUCUGAAGCUCCUUGACCAUGAGUAAGGAAGUUGAAUGGUACAGGAAAAGCAGACUGACUUCAGGGGCGAGGAAUUAUGCCUGGCAAGCAUCUGGACUGCGGUGCUUCUGGGAGCUGGGACCUGAAGUCAGCAUUAGGUCUCCCGGGAAGUGGGCUUUGCUCCUACCUUCUGGUCAUGGCCCAACAAGCAGCCUCGCCAUCACCACAGAGGUGGCUGGAGAUGCCCUGUCCCAGGACCGUGGCAGGUGGGGAUCCCGUCCUGCGUGGGGCUUGCUGGCAGGUGAGAAAGACAGUGCACAGCCUGCAUUUAUUUAAUGACUCAUUUAAAAAUACCAUUUAAAGACUGGGUGUGGUGGCUCAUGCCUGUAAUCCCAGCACUUUGGGAGGCCGAGGUGGGUGGAUUACCUGAGGUCAGGAGUUCGAGACCAGCAUGGCCAAUAUGGUGCAACCCUGUCUCUACUAAAAAUACAAAAAUUAGCUGGGCAUGGUGGUACGUACCUGUAAUCCCAGCUACUUGGGAGACUGAGGCAGGAGAAUCCCUUGAAUCAGGGAGGUGGAAGUUGCAGUGAGCCAAGAUCAUGCCACUGCGUUCCAGCCUGUGUGACGUGUGACAGAGCGAGACUGUCUUAAAACAAAAAAUAAAAUAAAGUAAAAAAAUAAAGGCCAGGUGUGGUGGCUCAAGCCUGUAAUCCCAG